AGGAUGAACGCUAGCGGCAGGCUUAAUACAUGCAAGUCGUGGGGCAGCAUGGUGUAGCAAUACACUGAUGGCGACCGGCAAACGGGUGCGGAACACGUACGCAACCUUCCUUUAACUGGAGAAUAGCCCGGGGAAACCCGGAUUAAUACUCCGUAACAUUAUGAAGUGGCAUCACUUUAUAAUUAUAGCUCCGGCGGUUGAAGAUGGGCGUGCGUCUGAUUAGGUAGUUGGCGGGGUAACGGCCCACCAAGCCUACGAUCAGUAACUGGUGUGAGAGCACGACCAGUCACACGGGCACUGAGACACGGGCCCGACUCCUACGGGAGGCAGCGUAAGGAAGAUUGU
rnacentral:rRNA from 1 species